CCUACGGGAGGCAGCAGUGAGGAAUAUUGGUCAAUGGACGCAAGCCUGAACCAGCCAAGUCGCGUGCAGGAUGACUGCCCUACGGGUUGUAAACUUCUUUUGUAAAGGGAUAAAGUGAGGCACGUGUGCCUUUUUGUAUGUACUUUAUGAAUAAGGAUCGGCUAACUCCGUGCCAGCAGCCGCGGUAAUACGGAGGAUCCGAGCGUUAUCCGGAUUUAUUGGGUUUAAAGGGAGCGUAGACGGUGUGGUAAGUCAGUUGUGAAAGUUUGAGGCUCAACCGUAAAAUUGCAAUUGAUACUGGUAGUCUUGAGUAUAGUUGAGGUAGGCGGAAUGUGUGGUGUAGCGGUGAAAUGCUUAGAUAUCAUGAAGAACUCCGAUUGCGAAGGCAGCUUACCAAACUGCCACUGACAUUGAGGCUCGAAAGUGUGGGUAUCAAACAGGAUUAGAUACCCGGGUAGUC
rnacentral:rRNA from 1 species